UGUUUCGGCAAGGGGGUCAUCCCGACUUACCAACCCGAUGCAAACUGCGAAUACCGGAGAAUGUUAUCACGGGAGACACACGGCGGGUGCUAACGUCCGUCGUGAAGAGGGAAACAACCCAGACCGCCAGCUAAGGUCCCAAAGUCAUGGUUAAGUGGGAAACGAUGUGGGAAGGCCCAGACAGCCAGGAUGUUGGCUUAGAAGCAGCCAUCAUUUAAAGAAAGCGUAAUAGCUCACUGGUCGAGUCGGCCUGCGCGGAAGAUGUAACGGGGCUAAACCAUGCACCGAAGCUGCGGCAGCGACGCUUAUGCGUUGUUGGGUA
rnacentral:rRNA from 1 species